UCACCCUGGUUGGGAAACCCUAAUCUAGACAUAUCACUUGACACACACACAGAUUUGGAUCAUUUUACGCGGUUGCCCAAUGCCAUCAGUUUCAACACUACAUUCAACAGGUGCAAAAAUUGAGAUGUGAAUGCAGCCUUAGAAGCCUGGGAGAUUGCGUGUUUUCUGGGAAGGUAGAGAAGACCAUUGACCUGCUCAUUGAUGUAUUCAUAAUCUAUAGGAUUCCUGGGGGCACGGAGAGGCGGCAUCUGAUGAAUCCCCGAUGACACAGUUCAGUCUCUGCUCAUGUCUGACUGCUCCUAGUGAGUCACGAAAUUGAGAGCUUCCAUCACAACGUGCCUCUCGGCCUUGUCCUUUUGUAGCAGACCUAGACA